rnacentral:lncRNA from 1 species
ACUAUCCGUACCCGUUCCAAAUCCGUUUAACAAUACCCGUACAAUACCCGAACCCGACCGAACCCGAUUUUUUUAAAUUCAAUUCAAUGAAAAAAAUUUAAAAAUUUAGAUCUGAUAACCCAAAUAUCAAACCCUGAAUUAAAAGUACAACCUGAAUAUCAACCUCAAUUAUCUAUUCAAAGUAAAACUAUCCCUAAGAUAUGCACAAUCCAGCAGUAGAAAUAUUGGAGAAAUACCCAGCAGUAGAAAUAUUGGAGAACAAUAAUCAAAUAGCAAAUAUCCAAAUAAUCAAAUUAAUAGUUCAUAAAUUCUAAAAUUCUUUAAUAGCAACUAAAAAUUCUUUAACAAUAUGCACAUAAAAGAUCUUGAUUAUUAAAAAAUUUGAUUGCAAACCUGAAGAGAAUUCCAGCCAAAGGAGAUGUCACCGACGCCGAUUGUGGAGAGGCAAGGGUUAUCUCCAGCAGUCAUCGGUGAAGUGGGGGAGAGGAAAGAGUUGUCUCCAACUGAGAAGUGGGAGAUGUGGCCACUGGAGAGAGAGAAUGAGAUAUCGGGAGAGAGAAGAUUUAUCAUCGACUGGGGAGAGAAAGGAGACAUCGCCAGUGUCGAUUGGGCUGCCGACACUCGUCAGUGAAAUGGGGGAGAGAGGCGUUGACUGGAAAGUGGGACUGUGAGAGAUGU